rnacentral:tRNA from 1 species
GGUGGGGUGCCCGAGUGGCCAAAGGGGGCGGACUGUAAAUCCGCUGGCAGAAUCUUCGGAGGUUCAAAUCCUCCCCCCACCACCA